AUCUUUUCCGGAAGCAGAUCGCUCCAUAUACAUACAGAAGAACAAUCCCCAACAAGAGACGAAAGGGAAAAUAAAAAACCAAACUUUAACAACAAAAAACCCCUCUAGAUUUCGAGAUUGGAUGCUAGGAUUCCAUGAACCCUAGACGCAUUAAAGGGGGGAGUGAAGAAGCAGGUUGGCGGGGAAUAAUGGGCAUGGAGGUGUGUCGUUUUCAGGGGAGGGGAGAAUAAAGGAAUGAUGGUGAUAAGAAGAAGAAGCGGU
rnacentral:lncRNA from 1 species